AAAUAAUCUUUCAGCUUUAAAUGGCAAUUACAACCUAUAUGCCUGCACACAAAAAGACACAUUUGAGUGAUACUUGUCUUCGAUUAUUGCCAGUGACGAGUGGUAUCGUCUACGUUCAGGAGGAGACGCCUGGAAUCACCCGUUGGAAUCGGAAGUCAAGCGCUGUGACGUGCAUGUGAUAGUAAAAAUAUGAUUCAAAAUUGUCACGAUGAGUUGUGCGCAUAUCAUAACCACAGACGCAAAUAUCCAAAAUCGGUUUUUCGAUUGCUCCAAUGUACCUGAUAAAUAUACCGAGCUUAUAUUGGUUUUACCGUAUCCAACGAGAAUAAAGUAUAGCAUGGACUGUUAUAUGCUAGUAAAUGAAUGGACGAUUGAAUGAUUGGACAAUAAAUUAUAUUAUUUUUUCAUAAUAUUUGAUUGUUAACUGAAAUAUUACUCAUUUAUAUACAAAUAGAAAACAAUAAUAAAAUACGGACCGGGGCCGGACGAGAGAAGCAAGACUAGUGCCAAAUACUUUGUUUCCGUAUUCUGUCACUAUAAUAAUUAUUAUUUUAUUAUUAUUAAUUUUUUUUUAAGGAAGCCGGGUGGGUUUUUAAAAUAUUCAAUACAAGUGAAAUGUUAUAUAGUUUUUCCGAGUAUUUUAUCUGAGUUUAAUUUUAGUUACAAUAUAGUAAUUUUAAUAUAAUUUCAUACAAUUCCUUUAUUCCUUUAUAAUUGGAUUUUGUUCUUUUGUGCAAUAUUUUCUAUACUCCGGUAUAAUACUAUAUGGUAUCCUCAUUAUGUUGUCUUAAAUAUUAUUUUUCUCGUGGAUUUACACAAUAGGGGUGGUUUUGAACGCGAAAAUCAAUUUAUAGGUACCUUACAUUAUAUGCAUUUUGAAAUGUAUUUUGUACCCAAGAUUAUGGAUUCUAUUGUUUCCUGAUGGAUUAAAAACAAUUUAUCUCUAUCUCUCUCUAUC